rnacentral:rRNA from 1 species
GUUACAUCGGGAGACCGAUGGUUCCUUUCGGGGACGCCAGGACAGGUGCUGCAUGGCUGUCGUCAGCUCGUGUCGUGAGAUGUUGGGUUAAGUCCCGCAACGAGCGCAACCCUCGCCCUUAGUUGCCAGCAUUAAGUUGGGCACUCUAGGGGGACUGCCGGUGAUAAGCCGAGAGGAAGGUGGGGAUGACGUCAAGUCCUCAUGGCCCUUACGGGCUGGGCUACACACGUGCUACAAUGGCGGUGACAGUGGGCAGCGAACCCGCAAGGGGGAGCUAAUCUCCAAAAGCCGUCUCAGUUCGGAUUGUUCUCUGCAACUCGAGAGCAUGAAGUUGGAAUCGCUAGUAAUCGCGUAACAGCAUGACGCGGUGAAUACGUUCCCGGGCCUUGUACACACCGCCCGUCACACCAUGGGAGUUGGGUUUACCCGAAGGCAGUGCGCUAACCGUAAGGGGGCAGCUGACCACGGUAGGCUCAGCGACUGGGGUG